UACGUAGGAUGCAAGCGUUGUUCGGAAUUACUGGGCGUAAAGAGUACGUAGGCGGCAAUGAAAGUCUGAUAUUAAAGACUGGGGCUUAACCUCAGGAGUGUAUCGGAAACUUCAUGGCUAGAGGACAGUAGAGGAAGUCGGAAUUCCCAGUGUAGCGGUGAAAUGCGUAGAUAUUGGGAGGAACACCAGUGGCGAAAGCGGACUUCUGGGCUGUUACUGACGCUGAGGUACGAAAGUGUGGGGAGCAAAC
rnacentral:rRNA from 1 species